rnacentral:lncRNA from 1 species
UGGAGUUUGACUGAAAUGCCGUGGAAUUUGAAUAGAGAAGUGAAUCAUGGAGAGAAUAGUGGGACUGUGAUUGGGUGGAGUGAAUCCAGGAGGGAUAAAGGGAGAGAUUUUAGGACAAAAUCAAGGAGUUGUUUUGUGAGGAGUGUUGUGCCGUUUGGGGUAAGUCAAGCAUUGAGAAUUCGGCUGGGGGAAGGUGUUUGUGCCGAAUUUGAUCAUUUUUCACUUAAGGUUAUCAAUUUUGGUUUAUUUUUGAGUUUUUCUCUCAGUCUGCUUUGAUUUCUAUGAGUUUUGGGUUUCACAUUUUAGUUUCGAUGUCAAAUUUUGCCAAGUUCUCGAAGUUACUCUCAGGUUUGCUCAUUUUUUUCAUUUUCUUCUCUUUACCUUAAUUUCUUUUUCUUCCAUUUUUGUUUGUUGUAGCCGAAUUCGAUCUUUUUUGAAUCCCUUUUCUCUUCCCUCUUCUUUUUUUUGCCGUGCUAAAUCACUUUUCUCUUCUCUUCUAUUUCUUUGGCCGAAUGUCCGUCUCACUCUGUCUUUGAUUUCUAUCUCUUAUUAUUUAACUUUGUGAUCGAGAUAUAUUUCAUUUUCCCUUAUUGAUUGUGGUUCAGCCGAUU